AGGGGUGGCCAGGAGUGAAACAGCUGGAAGUGGGAAUUACCAAGCUGCUUGCGCCUGGGUUGAGCGCCCUCCCUCACCUCCAUCUCGCCUGGGCUGGAAGGGAGAGGUCCAUUGGGAGCCCUUAAUCAACCUUCCUCCUAAUCUUACCCACUAGGGCUGAGCCUCAUUGGAAGAACUAGAGGGGCAGGUACAAUUCAGCUGGGUGCUUCCCUCCUUCAUGGGAAGACAGAGGGUCUUCCUGCUUUCUCCUGCUGAAUCUCCUCAUGCCCACUCUCCUGGCCUCCAUUCUUGCAGGAGAAGCCAUUCCGGGGCUCCUGGCUGCUGCCUUCUGUAUGUGUGGUCAGUGUCGUUCUCCUUCACCCCUGUGGGUGGAGCCCAGGACGCAGCCCCCUGCUCUACCAGUCGUGUGCCCGCAGCCUUUCCUGCUUGGCCCCGGUGUGGGGGUCUGACCACAUUCCCGCUCCCCCUGUGGGAUUUUGGAAUCUGCAGGGAGGGCUGCCUCUUCCCACAGCUCCUGAAUCAGGCUGGGGGAUCUGCCACCUGGUGUCUACCCACUCUGCUGUGUUGUCUAUAGUUUCAGGGAACCAGCCAGAGCUGGGUGAGGGCGCCUUUUUGGAGUUGUUAGAGGAGCAGGUUUGUCAAGAGGGAGGCAAAGCUGGGGCUGGGGGUCUGGUUUCAACCCGGGGCACUUCACCUUCAUCACCUGAUGGCCGGGAAGCUUUCACCCAGUUCUGGGUCUGCUGUGGCCCAGAUACUGUCCCAGGUGCUGAGAGUUUAUCAGCAAGCAAAAAACAGUCCUUGCCCUUGCGGAGCUUGUGUUUUCCAUCGCCCCAGCUGACUGCCACCUUUAGAGUGACUUCCCUGCUUACUCAGGAAGUUUGGGGGGCUGAGAUGGAAAGUUGGGGCUUGGACCACGAAAUCUCGCACCCCAGACUC
rnacentral:lncRNA from 1 species